rnacentral:rRNA from 1 species
GUUAAAAAGCACGUAGUUGGAUCAAGAGUUGGACAGUGCAAGGUGGCCUCGUUGACUGCGUGGUUCCGAUCACAAGGAAAGCGGCGGAUCAACCCCUUGCAUCAAACUGUCCACUCUAACAGGCCGAAGCGGUGCCCUGUGAGUAAGCUCCUUCAUUGGGGCUGAAAGCGCCUUCGCAUCUACCACAUGCAUACGGGCCGUCGGCCCUUUCGCCUGAACGUUCGAGCAUGGAAUAACAAGGGAUCGAUUCUCUCGGUUCUUUUUGUUGGUUUUUAACCCGAGAAGGAGUAAUUCAGGUCACGGUGUCUGAGCCAGGUACCCCUUCGCCCAGGCGGAGGCCCUGGUUAGGCCGUGGCCUUACGGGACUAAUAGGGACGGACGGGGUCGUACGUACUUCCACGUCAGAGGUGAAAUACUUAGAUCGUGGGAAGACGAACUUCUGCGAAAGCAUUCGACAAGAACGCCUUCAUUAAUCAAGAACGAGAGUGUGGGGAUCGAAGAUGAUCAGAUACCGUCGUAGUCCACUACUGUAAACAAUGCCGUCUCAGGAUUGAGAAGUGAACUCUAUGACCUUCACAGCACUAACCCCUGAAACGAGA